rnacentral:rRNA from 1 species
GACAGAGGGUGCAAACGUUGUUCGGAAUUACUGGGCGUAAAGCGCGUGUAGGCGGCCAUCUAAGUCGGGCGUGAAAUCCCACGGCUCAACCGUGGAAGUGCACUCGAAACUGGAUGGCUAGAGUCCUGGAGAGGAAGGUGGAAUGCUUGGUGUAGAGGUGAAAUUCGUAGAUAUCAAGCGGAACACCGGUGGCGAAGGCGGCCUUCUGGACAGUGACUGACGCUGAGACGCGAAAGCGUGGGGGGCAAACAGG